CAUGGAGUGGCGCAUAUUUGUGAAUUCAUUUAGUCCUGAGCAGUGUCUAUAGAUACCCCAACAAAGAUCUUUCCUGGUGUUUGAAUGUUUACUGGUAUUUCCUUCUGCAGGAUGUCCGCUCUGCUUGUCUUACCGCAUGAGAGAGUGCAGAUGUUCCUGAAAGCAUCUUUGCGUGGAUUUGCUUGAAGCGAGAUGUGAGAGAAGGGGCAAAGCUCGAAGGGAGCUGCUAGAGAGAGAGGAAAGCAGCUGGACAGGGCUUUCCUGAUGACUGAAAUCUUAUUGUGGAUAAUGGAGAUCAGGUCCUGUGGUGGUGGAUCUAAUGGAAGGAUCCUAGGUCUCUGAAUCACAACGUGGAAGAAAAUCAGUCACCACCCCUAGCUGGAACACCAACAUUUCAAAUAAGUGAAAAAUAAACUCUUAUUAUGUCAAGCCACUGCAAUUUUGGGGUUUGUCUUAGUGUUAGUGUCACCUACAUUUAUGCAAUAGCUGAGUAACAUUUUAG
rnacentral:lncRNA from 10 species